rnacentral:rRNA from 1 species
GUCGAGGGGUAACAGAAAAGCUUGCUUUUGCUGACGACCGGCGCACGGGUGCGUAACGCGUAUGCAACCUACCUCAUACUGGAGGAUAGCCCCUGGAAACGGGGAUUAAUACUCCAUAGUAUCACAAUUUCGCAUGUUAUUGUGAUUAAAGUUUUUCGGUAUGAGAUGGGCAUGCGUCCCAUUAGCUUGUUGGUGAGGUAACGGCUCACCAAGGCAACGAUGGGUAGGGGGCCUGAGAGGGUGGUCCCCCACACUGGUACUGAGACACGGACCAGACUCCUACGGGAGGCAGCAGUGAGGAAUAUUGGUCAAUGGAGGAAACUCUGAACCAGCCAUGCCGCGUGAAGGAUGACGGCCCUAUGGGUUGUAAACUUCUUUUAUAGAGGAAGAAACUUGUCUACGUGUAGACAACUGACGGUACUCUACGAAUAAGGAUCGGCUAACUCCGUGCCAGCAGCCGCGGUAAUACGGAGGAUCCAAGCGUUAUCCGGAUUCAUUGGGUUUAAAGGGUCCGUAGGCGGAUUUUUAAGUCAGUGGUGAAAGCCGACAGCUCAACUGUCGAACUGCCAUUGAUACUGGAAAUCUUGAGUACAAAUGAAGUAGGCGGAAUGAGUCAUGUAGCGGUGAAAUGCAUAGAUAUGACUCAGAACACCGAUUGCGAAGGCAGCUUACUAACAUGUAACUGACGCUGAGGGACGAAAGCGUGGGGAGCGAACAGGAUUAGAUACCCUGGUAGUCCACGCCGUAAACGAUCAUCACUCGCUGUUGGCGAUAUACUGUCAGCGGCCAAGCGAAAGUAUUAAGUGAUGCACCUGGGGAGUACGCCGGCAACGGUGAAACUCAAAGGAAUUGACGGGGGCCCGCACAAGCGGUGGAGCAUGUGGUUUAAUUCGAUGAUACGCGAGGAACCUUACCAGGGCUUAAAUGUAGUAUGACCGGCUUGGAAACAGGCCUUCUCUUCGGAGCAGAUUACAAGGUGCUGCAUGGUUGUCGUCAGCUCGUGCCGUGAGGUGUUAGGUUAAGUCCUGCAACGAGCGCAACCCCUAUUCUUAGUUGCCAGCGGUUCGGCCGGGG